rnacentral:ncRNA from 2 species
CCAGUCUGCCGGCGUCAGGGUCUUCCGAGUCGAAAACGGCCGGAGGCUAAGAGGGAAGCCGGUGCGAUGCUCCGAAAGGAGCGCCAAGGCCGGCGCUGCCCCCGCAACUGUGAACGGCGAGCUGCUGUCGAUCGAUGCCACUGGCGCGAAAGCGCCGGGAAGGCGCGGCAGAAGCGACGACCCGCAAGCCAGGAGACCUGCCCCGACAGUUCGUAACGU